rnacentral:rRNA from 1 species
AUUGAACGCUGGCGGCAGGCCUAACACAUGCAAGUCGAGCGAGCGGCGGACGGGUGAGUAAUGCCUGGGAAUUGCUCAGACGAGAGGUAUAAAAGUUGGAAAAGACUGCUAAUACCGCAUUAGAUUGGAGUGCCUAGGUGGGAUUAGCUAGUUGGGGAGGUAAUGGCUCACCCAGGCGACGAUCCCUAGCUGGUCUGAGAGGAUGAUCAGCCACACUGGAACUGAGACACGGUCCAGACUCCUACGGGAGGCAGCAGUGGGGAAUAUUGCGCAAUGGGGGAAACCCUGAUGCAGCCAUGCCGCGUGUGUGAAGAAGGCCUUCGGGUUGUAAAGCACGUUCAGCGAGGAGGCGUUACUCGCAGAAGAAGCACCGGCUAACUCCGUGCCAGCAGCCGCGGUAAUAC